rnacentral:rRNA from 1 species
UACGUAGGGUGCGAGCGUUGUCCGGAAUUAUUGGGCGUAAAGAGCUCGUAGGUGGUUUGUCGCGUUGUUCGUGAAAACUCACAGCUUAACUGUGGGCGUGCGGGCGAUACGGGCAGACUGGAGUACUGCAGGGGAGACUGGAAUUCCUGGUGUAGCGGUGGAAUGCGCAGAUAUCAGGAGGAACACCGGUGGCGAAGGCGGGUCUCUGGGCAGUAACUGACUCUGAGGAGCGAAAGCGUGGGGAGCGAACAGG